rnacentral:rRNA from 1 species
GACAGAGGUCCCGAGCGUUAGGCGGAAUCACUGGGCUUAAAGCGUGUGUAGGCGGCGGCCUAAGUACCUUGUGAAAUCCCAACGGCUCACCCGGUGGAACUGCUCGGUAUACUGGGUCGCUUGAGCCACUUAGGGGCUACCGGAGCAAAUGGUGGAAGCGGUGAAAUGCGUAGAUAUCAUUUGGAACGCCAAUGGUGAAAACAGGUAGCUGGGAGUGUGCUGACGCUGAGACACGAAAGCCAGGGGAGCAAACGGG